GAGUGAUGAAUUUGACUCCUUUGAAAUUGGUCAACCUCUGCCGAGUGUUCAAUCUCUUCAAGAUGGAGGAAAAACAACAGAAAUUGGCCAACGUCUGCCGAGUGUUCAAUCUCUUCAGAAUGGAGGAGAAACAACAGAAACUGAUUCUUUCUGUCAACCGUCAAAUUUACAGAAUGGGGAGAAUAAUGGUGUUGCUGCACAACUGAUUCCUUCAUGUUCAUCACACAAGCGUGAUUCACUCAACUGUGAAGGGACAGUGGAAGUUGAUCCGUCACUGCCUCAUCCAAUAGAGGAAGCUGUGACAAACAGAGCAACGGUUAACGUGGAUGUAGCACAUGAUGACCACAUUGAGGAUACAACUGAAAUAAUUCAACUUGAUUCACACUUUGAGCAACCAAAUUUAGAAACUAAUUCUGCAGGAAAUGCAACGACUAACAAUGAGAUGAUUCAUUCACAUAAGAAAAACGCAAUACAAAGGAUAGAAAAAGAUCAUGGGAUUACUCGCAAGAUUCUGGAGCAGCAUUAAGGCAUGACUCUUGAAGAUGCUGCCAAAGAUCUACAUGUUAGUCGAGCAACACUGAAACGAAUAUGUAGAGAAAAUGAAAUCGCUAGAUGGCCGCAUCAUAAGACUAGAAAGGUUAAUGUCCAUGUUAGCCAAGGCGUAUCUUUUCAAGGUGCUGAACCAUAAGUGGUCGAUCAACAAUGUCCUGCUCUUUCCCA